AAUAGUUCAUUAGGGUACGAGAAUUUUAGAAAAGAAUUUGGGAAGUUAAAUGAGGCAUAAAUCUUAAAUUAGUGUUAAUAUGGACUAUAGAUCUAAGACUUUCUAACUCUUUAAAUUAGAGUUAUUUAUUUUAAUGUAAAAUUAAUAUAUAGUAUUGUGAAAUAAUUAUGUAGAUUAUAUUGACAAAGAUAGUGGUGAAAAAGGAGUUGUGAAGGGGAACUUGUUAUUCAAGACACAAGGAGCGAGUCCGGCCGAGAAAGCACCAGAGGUGUAACUAUGGUGUAUGAGACACCAUCUUUUACGUUGCCUCUUAUUUUGGAUUAUACAAUGUAUCUUGUGCCAACUUAGGACAUAUCUUCUUUGUGAAGCAUGUAAACUCUAAUCCUUUUUAUUAAAAGUAUUUAUAUGACCAAGAGGAUUAUGUCUGUCCCUCUUGAUUCAUGACCUGAUUUAAAUAUCAUGCCAUGAGGAUCCUGUCUGUCCCUCAUGGUUCUAAUUGUUUUUUUUUGAGAUAUUUUAAGACUUGUGGUAUAUUGUCUUGGAUGUACCAUGGUAGAAAUUUUUCUACCAUGAUAAGGGUAUGAUGAGGGUUCAAUGAAAAAAAAUGAUUUAUUGAAUUAA